rnacentral:rRNA from 1 species
AACGAACGCUGGCGGCAUGCCUAACACAUGCAAGUCGAACGAGAUCUUCGGGUCUAGUGGCGCACGGGUGCGUAACGCGUGGGAAUCUGCCCUUUGGUUCGGAAUAACAGUUGGAAACGACUGCUAAUACCGGAUGAUGACGAAAGUCCAAAGAUUUAUCGCCAGAGGAUGAGCCUGCGUAGGAUUAGCUAGUUGGUGUGGUAAAGGCGCACCAAGGCGACGAUCCUUAGCUGGUCUGAGAGGAUGAUCAGCCACACUGGGACUGAGACACGGCCCAGACUCCUACGGGAGGCAGCAGUGGGGAAUAUUGGACAAUGGGCGAAAGCCUGAUCCAGCAAUGCCGCGUGAGUGAUGAAGGCCUUAGGGUUGUAAAGCUCUUUUACCAGGGAUGAUAAUGACAGUACCUGGAGAACAAGCUCCGGCUAACUCCGUGCCAGCCGCCGCCGUAA